rnacentral:rRNA from 1 species
GACGAACGCUGGCGGCGUGCUUAACACAUGCAAGUCGAACGGAAAGGCCCUGCUUUUGUGGGGUGCUCGAGUGGCGAACGGGUGAGUAACACGUGAGUAACCUGCCCUUGACUUUGGGAUAACUUCAGGAAACUGGGGCUAAUACCGGAUAGGAGCUCCUGCUGCAUGGUGGGGGUUGGAAAUUUUCGGCGGGUGGGGAUGGACUCGCGGCUUAUCAGCUUGUUGGUGGGGUAGUGGCUUACCAAGGCUUUGACGGGUAGCCGGCCUGAGAGGGUGACCGGCCACAUUGGGACUGAGAUACGGACCAGACUGCUACGGGAGGCAGCAGUGGGGAAUAUUGACCAAUGGGCGGAAGCCUGAUGAAGCAACGCCGCGUGCGGGAUGACGGCCUUCGGGUUGUAAACCGCUUUCGCCUGUGACGAAGCGUGAGUGACGGUAAUGGGUAAAGAAGCACCGGCUAACUACGUG